rnacentral:rRNA from 1 species
UACGUAGGGGGCAAGCGUUGUUCGGAAUUACUGGGCGUAAAGGGCCAGUAGGCGCCAACUAAGUCCGACGUGAAAUCCCCAGGCUAACCUGGGAACUGCGUCGAUACUGGAUGGCUUGAAUUCGGGAGAGGAUGCAGAUUCAGGUGUAGCGGUGAAUGCGUAGAUAUCUGGAGGAACACCGGUGGCGAAGGCGGCCCCCUGGACCGGUACUGACGGCUGAGGCGCGAAAGCGUGGGUAGCAAACGGG